rnacentral:ncRNA from 1 species
UUAAUAAGUCAGGGGUGCUGAUUGUUUUUCAAUCUUGGCUGAGAUUAUACCCUUCUAACCUGUUCGGUAAUGCGAGCGUAGGAAGACGAUAUAAAUUUAGG